GACGAACGCUGGCGGCGUGCCUAACACAUGCAAGUCGAGCGGGGUCCAUCCAGUGGCAACACUGGGGAAGACCUAGCGGCGAACGGGUGAGUAACACGUGAGGAACCUGCCCCGAAGACCGGGAUAACCCGAGGAAACUCAAGCUAAUACCGGAUACCCCCACGAGAUCGCAUGGUCUUGUGAGGAAAUGUCUUUUCGCUUCGGGAGGGCCUCGCGGCCUAUCAGCUAGUUGGCGGGGUAACGGCCCACCAAGGCAUCGACGGGUAGCUGGUCUGAGAGGACGAUCAGCCACACUGGGACUGAGACACGGCCCAGACUCCUACGGGAGGCAGCAGUGGGGAAUCUUGCGCAAUGGGCGAAAGCCUGACGCAGCAACGCCGCGUGGGGGGACGAAGGGCUCUCGGGUUGUAAACCCCUUUCAGGAGGGACGAAAUUGACGGUACUCCAGAAGAAGCCCCGGCCAACUACGUGCCAGCAGCCGCGGUAAU
rnacentral:rRNA from 1 species